AAGCAACACUGUGACAGAUGAACAAACUAUCUGACACAAUUUGAGCUUGCUAUAGCAAGAAAGUCUAACCUAUUCCGGUUAGAAGUAUUCUCUUCCUCAUGAGACAAGCCGUUGUAUAGGCUCAAACAAU
rnacentral:snoRNA from 1 species